GAUGAACGCUGGCGGCGUGCCUAAUACAUGCAAGUCGAGCGAACAGACGAGGAGCUUGCUCCUCUGACGUUAGCGGCGGACGGGUGAGUAACACGUGGAUAACCUACCUAUAAGACUGGGAUAACUUCGGGAAACCGGAGCUAAUACCGGAUAAUAUAUUGAACCGCAUGGUUCAAUAGUGAAAGACGGAUUUGCUGUCACUUAUAGAUGGAUCCGCGCCGCAUUAGCUAGUUGGUAAGGUAACGGCUUACCAAGGCAACGAUGCGUAGCCGACCUGAGAGGGUGAUCGGCCACACUGGAACUGAGACACGGUCCAGACUCCUACGGGAGGCAGCAGUAGGGAAUCUUCCGCAAUGGGCGAAAGCCUGACGGAGCAACGCCGCGUGAGUGAUGAAGGUCUUCGGAUCGUAAAACUCUGUUAUUAGGGAAGAACAAAUGUGUAAGUAACUAUGCACGUCUUGACGGUACCUAAUCAGAAAGCCACGGCUAACUACGU
rnacentral:rRNA from 1 species